rnacentral:rRNA from 1 species
GAUGAACGCUAGCGGCAGGCCUAACACAUGCAAGUCGAGGGGCAGCAAGGGUAGCAAUACCUGUUGGCGACCGGCGCACGGGUGAGUAACGCGUUUGCAACCUACCUCUAACUGGGGCAUAGCCCGAAGAAAUUCGGAUUAAUACCCCAUAACACUAUGAAGUGGCAUCUUUUUAUAGUUAAAGUUUCGACGGUUAGAGAUGGGCAUGCGUAACAUUAGCUUGUUGGUGAGGUAACGGCUCACCAAGGCAACGAUGUUUAGGGGGUCUGAGAGGAUGAUCCCCCA